GAUGAAGAACGCAGUGAAAUGCGAUACGUAAUGUGAAUUGCAGAAUUCAGUGAAUCAUCGAAUCUUUAAACGCAUAUUGCGCUCUUUGGUAUUCCGAAGAGCAUGCUUGUUUGAGUAUCAGUAAACACCUCAAAGACUUCAAUUUGUUUUGAAUGGCUUUGGACUUGAGCAAUCCCAACACCAGUCUUUACGAUCGGUGGAGGGUUGCUUGAAAUGCAGGUGCAGCUGGACAUUCUCCUGAGCUAAAAGCAUAUUUAUUUAGUCCCGUCAAACGGAUUAUUACUUUUGCUGCAGCUAACAUAAAGGGAGUUUGACCGUAUUGGCUGACUGAUGCAGGAUUUCACAAGGGUCGGCAACGAUUCUUGUAAAACUCGAUCUCAAAUCAAGUAAGACUACCCGCUGAACUUAAGCAUAUCAAUAAGCGGAGGA
rnacentral:misc_RNA from 1 species